UUGUCGGUUGGUUUUUGUUUGUUUGCUUCCUCUCACUAGGCAUUAAAACAGAGCCACGUCUGAGAG
rnacentral:pre_miRNA from 1 species